UCCGGUUUGGCACCGGCAGUCUUCCUAGAGUCCCCGCCAUUACGCGCUGGUAACUAAUGACAAGGGUUGCGCUCGUUGCGGGACUUAACCCAACAUCUCACGACACGAGCUGACGACAGCCAUGCAGCACCUGUGUUACGGCUCUCUUACGAGCACCAAGCCAUCUCUGGCGAGUUCCGUACAUGUCAAAGGUAGGUAAGGUUUUUCGCGUUGCAUCGAAUUAAACCACAUCAUCCACCGCUUGUGCGGGUCCCCGUCAAUUCCUUUGAGUUUUAACCUUGCGGCCGUACUCCCCAGGCGGAGAACUUAAUGCGUUAGCUGCGCCACCGAAGGGCUAAGCCCCCCGACAGCUAGUUCUCAUCGUUUACGGCGUGGACUAC
rnacentral:misc_RNA from 1 species